rnacentral:rRNA from 1 species
GGGUUGUGAGGUUAAGCGACUAAGCGUACACGGUGGAUGCCCUGGCAGUCAGAGGCGAUGAAGGACGUGCUAAUCUGCGAUAAGCGUCGGUGAGGUGAUAUGAACCGUUAUAACCGGCGAUUUCCGAAUGGGGAAACCCAGUGUGUUUCGACACACUAUCAUUAACUGAAUCCAUAGGUUAAUGAGGCGAACCGGGGGAACUGAAACAUCUAAGUACCCCGAGGAAAAGAAAUCAACCGAGAUUCCCCCAGUAGCGGCGAGCGAACGGGGAGGAGCCCAGAGCCUGAAUCAGUGUGUGUGUUAGUGGAAGCGUCUGGAAAGGCGUGCGAUACAGGGUGACAGCCCCGUACACAAAAAUGCACAUAUUGUGAGCUCGAUGAGUAGGGCGGGACACGUGGUAUCCUGUCUGAAUAUGGGAGGGACCAUCCUCCAAGGCUAAAUACUCCUGACUGACCGAUAGUGAACCAGUACCGUGAGGGAAAGGCGAAAAGAACCCCGGCGAGGGGAGUGAAAAAGAACCUGAAACCGUGUACGUACAAGCAGUGGGAGCCUUUUGUAUAAUGGGUCAGCGACUUAUAUUCUGUAGCAAGGUUAACCGAAUAGGGGAGCCGAAGGGAAACCGAGUCUUAACUGGGCGUUAAGUUGCAGGGUAUAGACCCGAAACCCGGUGAUCUAGCCAUGGGCAGGUUGAAGGUUGGGUAACACUAACUGGAGGACCGAACCGACUAAUGUUGAAAAAUUAGCGGAUGACUUGUGGCUGGGGGUGAAAGGCCAAUCAAACCGGGAGAUAGCUGGUUCUCCCCGAAAGCUAUUUAGGUAGCGCCUCGUGAAUUCAUCUCCGGGGGUAGAGCACUGUUUCGGCAAGGGGGUCAUCCCCCGCUCGCCGGAAGACCAAGGGUUCCUGUCCAACGUUAAUCGGGGCAGGGUGAGUCGACCCCUAAGGCGAGGCCGAAAGGCGUAGUCGAUGGGAAACAGGUUAAUAUUCCUGUACUUGGUGUUACUGCGAAGGGGGGACGGAGAAGGCUAUGUUGGCCGGGCGACGGUUGUCCCGGUUUAAGCGUGUAGGCUGGUUUUCCAGGCAAAUCCGGAAAACCAAGGCUGAGGCGUGAUGACGAGGCACUACGGUGCUGAAGCAACAAAUGCCCUGCUUCCAGGAAAAGCCUCUAAGCAUCAGGUAACAUCAAAUCGUACCCCAAACCGACACAGGUGGUCAGGUAGAGAAUACCAAGGCGCUUGAGAGAACUCGGGUGAAGGAACUAGGCAAAAUGGUGCCGUAACUUCGGGAGAAGGCACGCUGAUAUGUAGGUGAAGCGACUUGCUCGUGGAGCUGAAAUCAGUCGAAGAUACCAGCUGGCUGCAACUGUUUAUUAAAAACACAGCACUGUGCAAACACGAAAGUGGACGUAUACGGUGUGACGCCUGCCCGGUGCCGGAAGGUUAAUUGAUGGGGUUAGCGGCAACUGCAACUGUUUAUUAAAAACACAGCACUGUGCAAACACGAAAGUGGACGUAUACGGUGUGACGCCUGCCCGGUGCCGGAAGGUUAAUUGAUGGGGUUAGCGGCAACGCGAAGCUCUUGAUCGAAGCCCCGGUAAACGGCGGCCGUAACUAUAACGGUCCUAAGGUAGCGAAAUUCCUUGUCGGGUAAGUUCCGACCUGCACGAAUGGCGUAAUGAUGGCCAGGCUGUCUCCACCCGAGACUCAGUGAAAUUGAACUCGCUGUGAAGAUGCAGUGUACCCGCGGCAAGACGGAAAGACCCCGUGAACCUUUACUAUAGCUUGACACUGAACAUUGAGCCUUGAUGUGUAGGAUAGGUGGGAGGCUUUGAAGUGUGGACGCCAGUCUGCAUGGAGCCGACCUUGAAAUACCACCCUUUAAUGUUUGAUGUUCUAACGUUGGCCCGUAAUCCGGGUUGCGGACAGUGUCUGGUGGGUAGUUUGACUGGGGCGGUCUCCUCCUAAAGAGUAACGGAGGAGCACGAAGGUUGGCUAAUCCUGGUCGGACAUCAGGAGGUUAGUGCAAUGGCAUAAGCCAGCUUGACUGCGAGCGUGACGGCGCGAGCAGGUGCGAAAGCAGGUCAUAGUGAUCCGGUGGUUCUGAAUGGAAGGGCCAUCGCUCAACGGAUAAAAGGUACUCCGGGGAUAACAGGCUGAUACCGCCCAAGAGUUCAUAUCGACGGCGGUGUUUGGCACCUCGAUGUCGGCUCAUCACAUCCUGGGGCUGAAGUAGGUCCCAAGGGUAUGGCUGUUCGCCAUUUAAAGUGGUACGCGAGCUGGGUUUAGAACGUCGUGAGACAGUUCGGUCCCUAUCUGCCGUGGGCGCUGGAGAACUGAGGGGGGCUGCUCCUAGUACGAGAGGACCGGAGUGGACGCAUCACUGGUGUUCGGGUUGUCAUGCCAAUGGCACUGCCCGGUAGCUAAAUGCGGAAGAGAUAAGUGCUGAAAGCAUCUAAGCACGAAACUUGCCCCGAGAUGAGUUCUCCCUGACUCCUUGAGAGUCCUGAAGGAACGUUGAAGACGACGACGUUGAUAGGCCGGGUGUGUAAGCGCAGCGAUGCGUUGAGCUAACCGGUACUAAUGAACCGUGAGGCUUAACCUUACAACGCCGAAG